GGCCUACGGGCGGCAGCAGUGGGGAAUUUUACGCAAUGGGGGAAACCCUGACGUAGCGACACCGCGUGAGCGAAGAAGCCCUUUGGGGUGUAAAGCUCUGUCAGCAGGAACGAAAAAAAUGACGGUACCUGCAGAGGAAGCAUCGGCUAACUACGUGCCAGCAGCCGCGGUAAGACGUAGGAUGCAAGCGUUGUCCGGAUUCAUUGGGCGUAAAGAGUUCGUAGGCGGUUUGUUAAGUCUGAUGUUAAAGAUCGGGGCCCAACCCUGGGAGUGCAUUUGAUACUGGCAGACUGGAGUGCAGUAGAGGCGAGUGGAAUUCCCAGUGUAGCGGUGAAAUGCGUAGAUAUUGGGAAGAACACCGGUGGCGCAGGCGACUCGCUGGGCUGUAACUGACGCUGAGGAACGAAAGCUAGGGGAGCAAAUGGGAUUAGAUACCCUGGUAGUCAA
rnacentral:rRNA from 1 species